rnacentral:rRNA from 1 species
UACGUAGGGGGCAAGCGUUGUCCGGAAUCACUGGGCGUAAAGCGCACGUAGGCGGAUUGUUAAGUCAGGGGUGAAAUCCUGGAGCUCAACUCCAGAACUGCCUUUGAUACUGGCGAUCUCGAGUUCGGGAGAGGUGAGUGGAACUGCGAGUGUAGAGGUGAAAUUCGUAGAUAUUCGCAAGAACACCAGUGGCGAAGGCGGCUCACUGGCCCGAUACUGACGCUGACGGUGCGAAAGCGUGGGAGCAA